ACACGUAUGAAGGUCAAGCUGAAAGACUUUACCCAAUGAUGUAAGUGGUGGUGCAUGGCCGUUCGUAGUUCGUGGAUUGAUUUGUCUGGUCUAUUCCGAUAACGAGCGAGACCCCAACGUUCCUAAUAGGGGGGGCAGCCCGGGUGGCCGCGAGGUCACCUAGCAGCCCCCUAAGAUGUAGCUUCUUAGACGUAUCAGAGCCGAUAAGGUUCUUGAAAUGGGUUAAUAACAGGUCAGUCAUGCCCUUAGAUGUUCUGGGCCGCACGCGCGUUACAAUGGCAUGUAUAGAAAGUGCUUUUCAAGGUGUCCCCGGGGCUGAAAAGCCCCGGUAACCCUUAGUCCCUGCCUUGACUGGGACAGAUCUUUGCAAUUAUUGGUCUCCAACGAGGAAUUUUUAGUAAUCGCAGGUCAUUAACCUGCGAUGA
rnacentral:rRNA from 1 species